rnacentral:ncRNA from 1 species
GAACGGGUGAGUAACGCGUAAGGACCUGCCCUUGGAAGGGGAAGUGGGGAACAACCGCUGGAAACGAUUGCUAAUACCAUGUAGGCUGAGGAACAAAAGGAGGAAUCCGCGCGAGGAGGGGCUCGCGUCUGAUUAGCUAGUUGGUGAGACAAUAGCUUACAAAGGCGAUGAUCAGUAGCAGGUCCGAGAGGAUGAUCAUCCACACUGGGACUGAGACAAUCAACUUUAUCUUGAA